rnacentral:rRNA from 1 species
UACGUAGGGUGCGAGCGUUAAUCGGAAUUACUGGGCGUAAAGCGUGCGCAGGCGGUUAUGUAAGACAGUUGUGAAAUCCCCGGGCUCAACCUGGGAAUUGCAUCUGUGACUGCAUAGCUAGAGUACGGUAGAGGGGGAUGGAAUUCCGCGUGUAGCAGUGAAAUGCGUAGAUAUGCGGAGGAACACCGAUGGCGAAGGCAAUCCCCUGGACCUGUACUGACGCUGAGGCACGAAAGCGUGGGGAGCAAACAGG